rnacentral:rRNA from 1 species
GAGAUGAGGUGCUUGCACCUUAUCUUAGCGGCGGACGGGUGAGUAAUGCUUAGGAAUCUGCCUAUUAGUGGGGGACAACAUUUCGAAAGGAAUGCUAAUACCGCAUACGUCCUACGGGAGAAAGCAGGGGAUCUUCGGACCUUGCGCUAAUAGAUGAGCCUAAGUCGGAUUAGCUAGUUGGUGGGGUAAAGGCCUACCAAGGCGACGAUCUGUAGCGGGUCUGAGAGGAUGAUCCGCCACACUGGGACUGAGACACGGCCCAGACUCCUACGGGAGGCAGCAGUGGGGAAUAUUGGACAAUGGGGGGAACCCUGAUCCAGCCAUGCCGCGUGUGUGAAGAAGGCCUUAUGGUUGUAAAGCACUUUAAGCGAGGAGGAGGCUACUGAGACUAAUACUCUUGGAUAGUGGACGUUACUCGCAGAAUAAGCACCGGCUAACUCUGUGCCAGCAGCCGCGGUAAUACAGAGGGUGCGAGCGUUAAUCGGAUUUACUGGGCGUAAAGCGUGCGUAGGCGGCUUUUUAAGUCGGAUGUGAAAUCCCCGAGCUUAACUUGGGAAUUGCAUUCGAUACUGGGAAGCUAGAGUAUGGGAGAGGAUGGUAGAAUUCCAGGUGUAGCGGUGAAAUGCGUAGAGAUCUGGAGGAAUACCGAUGGCGAAGGCAGCCAUCUGGCCUAAUACUGACGCUGAGGUACGAAAGCAUGGGGAGCAAACAGGAUUAGAUACCCUGGUAG